UGGGGAAUAUUGGACAAUGGGCGCAAGCCUGAUCCAGCCAUGCCGCGUGAGUGACGAAGGCCUUAGGGUUGUAAAGCUCUUUUUGGCGGGGAAGAUAAUGACGGUACCCGCAGAAUAAGCUCCGGCUAACUUCGUGCCAGCAGCCGCGGUAAUACGAAGGGAGCUAGCGUUGUUCGGAAUCACUGGGCGUAAAGCGCACGUAGGUGGGCAGUUAAGUCAGGGGUGAAAGCCCGAGGCUCAACCUCGGAAUUGCCUCUGAUACUGGCUGUCUAGAGUUCGAGAGAGGUGAGUGGAAUUCCUAGUGUAGAGGUGAAAUUCGUAGAUAUUAGGAAGAACACCGGUGGCGAAGGCGGCUCACUGGCUCGAUACUGACACUGAGGUGCGAAAGCGUGGGGAGCAAACAGGAUUAGAUACCCCUGUAGUCCCUGAGCGGGCUGGCAAGGCGCAU
rnacentral:rRNA from 1 species